AGAUAGAGAACUGGCCACUUUUAUCAUUCAGCAGUAACUAAAGCCAACUGGCUGGCCUUCACUUCUGCAAACUGGCUUAAUUCACCUUCUCCUUCAGCAGUUUCUGCGCCUUUUUGUUUAGGGCUCCAUACAGCAGCUUUCCAUCUGAUGCUUUCCUACAAUACUACAGGACCCAUCAGCAAAGAGGAGAUAUUGCUUGUCAUUUUCUGGUAGUUUAUUAGGCAGUGGGAUCUCUUCAUCAGACAUCACCUCCUCUUCUGGUGAUAGUCUGAAAUCCCUGCCAGUCCAUGAUCACCUCCGAGAUUUGUUUCUGUCUGGGGUGUCCUAUCCAACCCUGUUGUGUUAUCAGUGUGACCCACUUACUUCAUGUAGCAUCAGUUGCAUGAUGUGUAGAGGGAAUCCUCCCUUUGGACAUUCAGCUCAGCACAAUUAAUCGAGGUUCCAAGAGGAGCUGUGCAUCACUACCAACUACUUCUGAAGCAGCUCAAACCCCUUCAUAUGCUGCUAGUAUCUUUUUUUCAGUUGGAGUGCAGCAGGCCACAGAUUAUCUGUAUCCCUGACUCCAGAAUUCCAAAGGGGUGCUUUCUGCCAAAGGCUCUUGGUGGGGUGUUGCUCCCCCGCUGUGGUGUAAAGCAGUUUUUUUUUCACCUUGUCCUGUCCAGCCUUGCCCAAGGGCUACUGUACUUUGUUUAAAGGUUUCUCAUUGCUUAGGGGCCCGUUUUAAAUUGUUCUUCUGUGUCACUGGAUCCAGGGCUUACCAUCAAACUGUAAUUUGUAAUAUAUAUUCUCAAAUGUCUCCAAUUUGUUAAAUACAUCC